rnacentral:lncRNA from 1 species
GUGGCAAGAAAAUCUCUUAAGCUUCUUGUCCUUAUUGAAAAAAAUCUUUGGACCAGUAUUGUGGAAUGUCCUCAUUUUUGAGGUGUAAUAAGUCAUGAACUUGGGGUUUUAUUCACCAAGGAAAGACUCUUGUAACCUAAAAGCACUGAGUGUAAGUCUAGUAAAAUGCACCCAGCAUUUAAAACCAAAUUUCUUCCUUGAAAAUUCAUAGAGGAAGAUUUAGACCUUUUCAAGUUCAGGAUUAUGCCUUAACUAUCAAGUGUGUUACUAGCCCUAUAUUCUGGGGAGCUAUGUGAGGCGUCUCUUAAGAACUGGAGUCACCGUGGCUGACUCAUCCUCGGGUUUGGAUUACAUGUGUGGGCUUGUGUUUUGGAUGGAGCUUUCUGGAAUAGCAACACUCCAUCAAAAACACAGUGGCACACCUGUACUCCAAAUGGUUGAAUAAGGCAAAACAUAUGGCAUCAAAACGCUGGGAAUCAUAGUAAAAAGAAAAAGAAAGAACGCAGGGUGUAGCAAGGAUAAAGACAGCACCAAGGCACUGAUAGCCAUGAAGAAUAGAACAAGUUUUAAGUAUAUGGCUUAUGAAAUGAUUUAUCUAUCAUUUAACCUCUGCUCAUAAGCCAUGUUUGUUCUGCGUGAUGUCGACAUGAACACCACACUCAGAGGGUGUGAAAAGUUGCUCAUUUGGAUGUUUCAUCCUAAAAAGUAAAUUCUCAUCACAAGUUGCGCAACUGGAAAUGACUGCUUCUUAUAUUAACAAUGGCUCUGAAAUGCCAUGAAAAAAGUAAUAAAACAGCUUCUUCUGGAAUUUUCAUUGGUCACUUAUGGUAUAGAAUACAUUUUGCUAUUUUCUCUUAAGAAUAGUGUAAUACUUUGUGUAAUGUUAACAAGGGGAUUUAUGUCAUUUUUCAUAUAAAAUGUUCACAAAUUACCUUUCCAUUCUAAUGAAUUCAUACUCAGACCUCUUAGAAGAAAGCGUUAAUAGUGUCACUCUGGUGGGACUUGUUAAUUUUACAUAGUUUAUUUUUUAUGGAUAUGAUUUUAAAACAAGUGUAAUAAAAAUUUUCUCUUUGUGUAAUGACCUCUGCUUAGUUAAUUAACUGCAAGAAAUUGUUCUUGUAGGUAAAGUUUAAGUAGGCAGGUGUAAAGGUGAACUUCUUCUAAAUAAAAACUUACUUCUGUCUGUCA